rnacentral:rRNA from 1 species
GCGAAAACUUUACAAUGCUGGCAACAGCGAUAAGGGAACCUCGAGUGCCAGGUUACAAAUCUGGCUGUCGAGAUGCCUAAAAAGCAUUUCAUAGCAAGGGCCGGGCAAGACCGGUGCCAGCCGCCGCGGUAACACCGGCGGCUCGAGUGGUAACCAUUAUUAUUGGGUCUAAAGGGUCUGUAGCCGGCCGGAUAAGUCUCUUGAGAAAUCUGGCAGCUUAACUGUCAGGCUUUCAGGUGAUACUGUCUGGCUCGAGGCCGGGAGAGGUGAGAGGUACUUCAGGGGUAGGGGUGAAAUCUUGUAAUCCUUGAAGGACCACCAGUGGCGAAGGCGUCUCACCAGAACGGACCUGACGGCAAGGGACGAAAGCUAGGGGCACGAACC